GGAUUUAUGAUGAGACAUACCUUGACUGAAACUGAUGAUGAGUUUUUAUAGUUAAGCAGGAUUACUCUGAGAUCC
rnacentral:snoRNA from 1 species